UUAAUAGUUAUUUUGGCAGAUUAGUGCAUUAAAUUUAGAAUUUAAUUAUGUAGUUUUACAAAUAAUAC
rnacentral:tRNA from 2 species